rnacentral:misc_RNA from 1 species
GAUGAAGAACGUAGCGAAAUGCGAUAAGUAGUGUGAAUUGCAGAAGUACCGUGAAUCAUCGAAUCUUUGAACGCAAAUUGCACUCUCUGGUAUUCCGGGGAGUAUGCCUGUUUGAGGGUCGCUUAACAAACCAUCGAUUUCGUUGCUUUUUUUUAAAGAGUGAUGUUUAUCGGAUUUGAGCCGUCUUUUUUUUUUAUAUUUAAGUGGCUUAAAAUUGAUUUUUUUGGUAUGAUCGAAGCGUAUUUUUAUGAUCAAUUUUUGGUUAAAGAAACGCACACGUACCGUUAUUUAUAUGAUGUAAUACGUUUGACUAUUGGAUUUAGUUCAUUCGUAUACGAUAUUUUUCAAUAUUUGACCUCAAAUCAGGUAAGAACACCCGCUGAACUUAAGCAUAUCAAUAAGCGGAGGA